rnacentral:rRNA from 1 species
AAGACGAGGAUAACAAUUGGAAACAGUUGCUAAGACUGGAUAGGAAAUUAGAAGGCAUCUUUUAAUUUUUAAAAGACCUUUUUCGAAAGGUAUACUUAAAGAGGGGCUUGCGGCACAUUAGUUAGUUGGUAGGGUAAAAGCCUACCAAGACUAUGAUGUGUAGCUGGACUGAGAGGUUGAACAGCCACAUUGGGACUGAGACACGGCCCAAAACUCCUACGGGAGGCAGCAAAAAGUAGGGAAUUUUUCGGCAAUUGGAGGAAACUCUGACCGAAGCAACGCCGCGUGAACGAUGAAGUAUUUCGGUAUGUAAAGUUCUUUUAUUGAAGAAGAAAAAAUAGUGGAAAAACUAUCUUGACGAUAUUCAAUGAAUAAGCCCCGGCAAACUAUGUGCCAGCAGCCGCGGUAAUACAUAGGGGGCGAGCGUUAUCCGGAAUUAUUGGGCGUAAAGGGUGCGUAGGCGGUUUGGUAAGUCUAUAGUUUAAUUUCAGUGCUUAACACUGUUCUGCUAUAGAAACUAUCAGACUAGAGUGAGAUAGAGGCAAGUGGAAUUCCAUGUGUAGCGGUAAAAUGCGUAAAUAUAUGGAGGAACACCAGAGGCGUAGGCGGCUUGCUGGGUCUUUACUGACGCUGAGGCACGAAAGCGUGGGGAGCAAACAGGAUUAGAUACCCUGGUAGUCCACGCCGUAAACGAUGAGUACUAAGUGUCGGGGAAACUCGGUACUGAAGUUAACACAUUAAGUACUCCGCCUGAGUAGUACGUACGCAAGUAUGAAACUUAAAGGAAUUGACGGGACUCCGCACAAGCGGUGGAUCAUGUUGUUUAAUUCGAAGAUACACGAAAAACCUUACCAGGUCUUGACAUACUCUGCAAAGCUAUAGCAAUAUAGUGGAGGUUAUCAGGGAUACAGGUGGUGCAUGGUUGUCGUCAGCUCGUGUCGUGAGAUGUUAGGUUAAGUCCUAAAACGAGCGCAACCCUUGUCACUAGUUGCCAGCAUGUUAUGAUGGGCACUUUAGUGAGACUGCCAAUGAAAAAUUGGAGGAAGGUGAGGAUCACGUCAAAUCAUCAUGCCCCUUAUGAUCUGGGCUACAAACGUGAUACAAUGGCUGUUACAAAGAGUAGCUAAAACGCGAGUUUAUAGCCAAUCUCAUAAAAGCAGUCUCAGUUCGGAUUGAAGUCUGCAACUCGACUUCAUGAAGUUGGAAUCGCUAGUAAUCGCGAAUCAGCAUGUCGCGGUGAAUACGUUCUCGGGGUUUGUACACACCGCCCGUCA